GGAGGCGCUGGGGCUGUCCUGGGUCGUCACAUGCGAGAAAUCGUCUCACCCCAGCCAGUGUGACGGAGUGAGAGCAAAAGAAAGUUUUGAUAGCAGCGUACGAUUUAUAUUCAGCUGUAUGCUGGGCAGGUCCAACUUGGCAUUUCUUGGCUGUAUCUCUGAAGGAAAGUCAUCUUAAUCUCUAUGAGCCUCCAUUUCCUCAGCUGUAAAAUGGGAAGAUCUUCCUCACACUGCUGUGUAUUUCAUUCCACAGACAUUUAGUGAGUGCCUGCUGUGUGUCAUCCAUUGUGACAGUGUUGGGAACACGGAGAUGAAUAAAACAAGGCCCCUGUCCUGGGAGAGCCGAGAGGCCACCUGUCAGCUGACAUCUUAGGGAGGACACCAUCUACAUCCAACCCUGACUACUGAACACUUCCAGUUUCUUGGAAGAAAGAUUUUAAAAUCUUCAGAAAUGAGAACUCCUCCAAAUAGGAUUUUCAUUUGUUUCAUAUAUUUUAAAAUUUUAUAUUUUAAUAUGUAACAGUCAUAUGGUUUAAAUAUAAAAAUGACAUCAGUGGCUCAGUAAGAAGUUUUCCUCCUAAUUUUUCCCUAACAGUUCCCAAUUUCUGAUAUAAAAAAUGUUAUAUCCUUGCAGGAUUUACUUAGGUAAAUACAUGUUCUUAGUUUUCCUCUUCAUUAUUCCAAAGGUUGUUUACUGCAAGCAUGGUUUUUCUUGCUCAUACAUCCUGGAGAUUGUCCCAUAUCCACACAGAGAAGGUUCCCCAUUUUUUUCUUACAGCCGCAAAGUGUUCCUUGUUCUAAACCAGGUUUCUAUUGAUAGUACUGGGUGGCUGGUCCUCAAUCUUUUGCUCUCAGACUGUGCCAUGUAUGUCCUUUCAGAGGGGGGCAGGUACAUCUGUAGGAUGGGUUCAAGGGUUUGUAAUUGAGAGAGAGAUUGCAAAUUGUCCUCCACAGAGGUUGCACUGCUUUCAUCCCCACCAGCAAUGUAUGAAAAGGCCUGUUUCCUGUUUUCCCUAUCAGGCUGAUAUUUAUUUAUUUAUUUGUUUAUUUACUUAUUUAUUAGAGCCAAGGUCUCACUCUGUCACCCACGCUGGAGUGCAAUGGCGUGAUCAUAGCUCUCUGCAGCCUCAAACUCCUGGGCUCAAGUGAUCCUCCUGCCUCAGCCUCCUGAUUAGCUGAGACUACAGAUAUGUGCUACCACACCCGACUAAUUUUUCACUUUUUGUGAAGACAGUGUCUCGCUAUGUUGCCCCGGGGUGUGGGGGGAGUUCUCUAACUCCCGGCCUCAAGCAAUCCUCCUGCCUCUACCUCCCAAAGUAUUGGGAUAAGCUAAUAUUUUUAAAGAGAAAGGAAGGAGGCAAUAUGAGGCCUCUAAAGAAGAGAGGUAGGAAGAAGGUGAAGCCCAGAUGCCUGGAGCACACAGAGCUGCAGCCACUGCCUGCAGCUUUGCUUAUGAGGGGGAUUGAGUUUCUUCAGGCCAUGAUGUUUGAUUUGUGUUUGGAGCAGUAAGCCUUACAGCUGAUAAAUGGUUUUUUUCUCCUGGGGGAGCACGAGACUCUAGGAAGAUAAUCUAUUAGGAGAACCUGAGGGAAGAGAGUUUAGUUGGUGCAUGUGGGUGUGAGGUUGUUUCUCGGUCCCUUCAGGCUGCUAUUGCAGAAUACCAUAGACUGUGUGGCUUAGAAACAACAGAACUUUAUUUCUUACAGUUCUGGAGGGUGGGAAAUCCAAGAUUGAGGUGCCAUCAGAUUCGGUGUCUGGUGAGAGCCUGUUUCCUGGCUCAUAGACAGCACCUCUCACUGUCCUCACCUGGUGGAAGGGUGUCGCUGGGGACUGAGUGUCUUCAUUUUUAUCAGUGCUUCUUUUGUAAGGGCACUAAUGCCCUUGUGCGGGCUCCACCCCCAUGACCUAAUCACCUCCCAAACAGCAUCACCUCAGGGAUGAAGAUUUCAACAUGUGAAUUGUGGGGGACACAAGCAUUCAGAACAUAGCAGGUGGCAUAUGAAAGUGCAGACCACCAUAUCCAGCAAAUACAUAUGCAUUUCCAAUAGUCAGGGGAAGAGACAGAGGGAGAGGUGGAGGAGGGUGGAGAAGAGGACAAUCUUCUCUGAGGAGGUAACGUUUGGGCAGAAUCCAAUUCAUAGAUCUGGGAAGAAAAGUUCCAGCAAAGGGACAAGCAAGGGUCAAGAUCCUCAGGGGAAGGAGAGGAGAGGGGCCUGCUCAAGACAGUGAGUGACCUUGGAGGAAUUGGGACAGGGAAGGCAGUCAGCAAAGCUGGGAGUCGGGGGGGUGCUGGACCAUGGGGAGCCUGGAAGGCCAUGGCAGGGAGUUUGGGGUUUAUCUUAAGAAUAAUGAGAAAAAGAAACUGGUCAGAAAAACCACAUAUUGCAUUUUUCCAUUUCUACAAAAUAUCCAAAAUAGACAAACCCAGAGAGACAGAAAGCAGAUUCGUGGUUGGCUGGGGCUGGGGAGAUUGGGAGGAAAUGGGGAGUGACUAAUAAUGGGUGCUGGGUUUCUUCUGAAGGAUGAUUACAAUGUUCUAAAAUUGAUUGUGGUGAUGGUUGCACAACCCUGCAAAUAUACAAAAAAAAAAAAAAGCCCAUUGAAUUGUAUACUUUCAGUGGGUGAAUUAUAUGAUAUGUGAAUUACAUCUCAAUAAAGCUGAUUUAUUUAUUUAUUCAUUUAUUUAUUUUGAGACAGGAUCUUGUUCUGUCGCCUAGGCUGGAGUGCAGUGACGUGACACAAUCACAGCUCACUGCAGCCUCGACCUCCCAGGCUCAAGUGAUCCUCCUACCUCAGCCUCCUAAGUAACUGGGACUAUAGGUGCAUGCACCACCAUACCCAGCUAAUUUUUAAGGUGUUUUUUUUUUUUUUGUAGAGACAGGGGUCUCACUAUAUUGUCCAAGCUAGCCUCAAACUCCUAGGCUUGAGUGAUCCUCCUGCCUUGGCCUCUCAAAGUGCUAGGAUUAUAAGCGUGAGCCACUAUGCCCAGCCUUGUUAUUUUUUAAAAAAGGAUUUUAAAAAAUUAUAAAAAGGAUAAUAGGAAGCUGUUAGAGGGUGAUUUAAUCAGCAGUAACAUUCUCACUCAGGCUGUUGUGGGAGAACAAACUGUAGGGAGGGGAGAGUGGGGGCAGGAGAUGGUUGGGAAGCUAGUGCAGUCGGCCAGGCAAGGAGCAAUAGUGACUUGGCCUGGGUGGGUCACUUUGUGAUGAGGAUUAAUGAAAAGGCCAGACUGGGGUAUUUUUUGAAGCUAGAGUUUGAUAAUUGGUUGUGAGGGGUGGGAGAGAGAGAUGAAUCCUGGCCAUUUAACUGCAGUGAAAAGACUGGAGGAAUAGUUGGACAAGCGGAGGGACGGGGCAUACGAGUUCUGUUUUGAACAUGACAGGCCUCCGAGGUGUCCACUAGGCAGACGGGAUGUCAGGGCAGGGUUACCACCAUGUAGAUGGUCACUGCUAAGAGCUGGGCACUCCUCCAAACACAUACAUUAAAUCAUUUAGUCUUCUCAGUAACCUAUGAGGCGAGAGCUGUAGCUAUCCCUGUCCAUAGGGGGCGUAUCCUGUGUGCCAUUUCAGAUGCCCGCGGCCUCACCUCUUGUUCCAGCCAUUGCCCCAGUGACCAGUUUUGCACAGGUCUUGACCAGUGCCGUGUAAAUGUCGCCUGGCAGGGCCUCUCCACAUGCCUCUCGCCCAACACCAUGAUGGGGGGACACCCAUGGAACCUGCUUGGCAUUAACACAUGAGCCGCCCAGAAGUGAAGGGGAGCUAACAUUCCAUGGGAUGACUCGAGAGGAGCCAAUGGAUAACUGUCCCCCUUCUUCCAGUGAGUUCUGAAGUACGUUUCAUAAAGCUUCACAGAAAGACUGAGUGGUGUUCACUCAGAGAGAUGUUAACACACUCCCAUAUUGACUCCCCCCUUUCUCUGUUUCAUUCCUCCUCCCCCUCACCCCUGCUCCCUGGGAUCAUGUUCCCAAAUAAACUACUCAUGCUUAAGCCUUUGUCUCAGGCCCCAUGUAAGAUCUGAUCUUACAUGGAGAAUUUAACAGCAACAACAUCACACCAGGGGCAUGCUCACCAGGGGCAGAGCAGGGGUUCACACCCCGGCAAGCUUCUCUACUCGCUUCCAUGUUGCCUCUCAAAGAUCCCAACCUCUAGAGGACAUUUAAAGGCACAGGCCUAGAUGGAAUCUAACCAUCUAACCGGGAGAGACUGUAAAUAAGAAAAAAGUCCCCACACCAUGCUCACAUUUAGAGAUCAAGAAGAGGAGGAGCCAGCGAAGGAGCCAGAGAAAGAGCUGCCAUCCGGGUAGGAGGAAGCCAGACCAGUGUGGAGUCCUGGACUCCAAAGAAAGACAGCGUUGCAAGGAGGAGCGAGUGCCCUACUGUGCAAACGCUGCUGAGAAAUUGAGGAGGUGAGACCAGGAGACAGACCUUUUGGAUGCGCCAGUAGGAGGUCACUGGUGACUUGGACAAGGGCAGUUUCAAUGGAGUGACAGAAACAAAAACUUGGCUGGUGUAGGCUAAGAGGGAAUGGAGGUGAAGAUUCGGAGAAGUAGCCAGCAGGGACAACCACUUCAAGGAGGGGUGCGUAAAAGGGAGGAGGAAGUGGAGCAGAAGCUGAAGAGGGUGUAGGGUCAAGGAAGAGUUUGUUUUGAAAGUGAGAGAGAUCAUAGCGCAGUUAUGUGCCGAAGGGAAUGGUCUGGCAGAGAGAAGGAGCUGGAUAGUGCAGGAGGGAGAAAGGUGAUUUCAGGCAGUCUUGAGUAAGUGAAGGGAUAUGGUGCACAAAAUGAAGGGAUUGGCCAGGGAUGCAAGAGGAGGCCAUCCCUCCAUCUGUCCAUCCAUCUAUCCAUCUGUCCAUCUGUCUGUCCAUCCAUCCGUCUGUCCGUCCGUCCGUCUGUCCACCCAUCCAUCCAUCCAUCCAUCUGUCCGUCUGUCCAUCUAUCCUUCCGUCCAUCCAUCCAUCCAUCCAUCUAUCCAUGCAUGCAUCCAUUGUGAGGAAGAAAGGUAGCAGCGGGCAUAGAUGCAGGCACCUUGGGAGAUCUGAUGGUGAGAGGCACGUACGUUCCAGCAGAUGACAUUUAGUUUCUCAGCAAAAUAAGAAGCAAGAUCUUUAACUAACAGCGAGAAACUAAGGGAAGGUGUUGAGGGUUGGAGAAGAUGUGAAACACUUAUCUGGAGAGUGGCGCAGUGAAUUUAGUAGAGAAAUAUAGUAAGAUUACUGGGCAAGCUGAGCGCCCACUUGAAGUUUGUGGUCAGAAGCGUCAAGUGCGGCUAUUCAGUAUGACUGUGAGUUUCCCCGGCAAUGCUCAGCUACUCAGUGCAGGUGCAGGGUGUUGGGUUUAAGCAGGGUGGAGGCUGUGUCAGGAGAUUCCAAAUGAAGGGAAAAGAGCAAGAAAGGAGAGGGCUUCCACAAAUGGGUGAUUCUUGUCAAGGCCUACAGAAUUGAGCUGGAGAAGGGGGUUGAAGGCAGUGAAAAAGGACAAGUUCAAAGGCAGGGAGUUCCCAAAGGGGACACAUCAUUGAAUGGAGGUAAUAGAGUAGAUAAGCUGAGAGCCGAGGAAGGGGUGGUCAGGGAGCAGGGGGUUCAGAAGUGCUGAGGCAAAACCCUGGCCAUGGGAGUGGGAGGCCCAGGCAGCAGAACGAGAGGUGGAGAGUGAGGAGGCCAAAGACCAAGAGUGGGAGGUGCUGGGUGGACAUCUACAUGGAUGACCUUCCUUGUCCACCAUCUCUUAAACAGCUCCCCAUCCUGCCACUACCCCUUCAUCUGCCUUUUCCUUUCAUAGCCCCUCUGUCUAACAUUAUUUUACGUAGGACUGGUUCAUUGGUUAAUUAUCCUUGCUGCCAUCAGAAUGUAAGCAUCUGAGGGCAGGGACAUUUUCUCUCUGGUCUACACUUAUAAACUCUUUUCUAAGAACAUACCUGGCACAGAUUAGGUGCUCAGAAACAUGUGCUGGACAAAAGAAUGAAUUAAUGUUAAGGUCUAGGAAAAGCAUGGAGGAGUGGUGGUGGAGAGGAAGACCGUGGGCCAGGUACUAAAAUCUGUGAAUGAGCAGGAGUGGCCUAGAGUAUGGUAAAUACUAGAAGGGAUGGUGGAUGGUCUGGUCUGAUGGCAUAGCUGCAAAGGAGAUGCAGACUUAGGCUGAGGAGGAAGGGGGAGAAACCUACAGGUGGCCAUGAAAGCAGGGAGGACAACUCGCUGCCUCCAGGCAUACUGAUGUGGAAGAAGAAAACAGAGCCAAGACAGGAGGUGGCUGCAAGGAAGCUGUGUGUGGGGGUCAGGCAGGUUUGCAGUAGAACAGGAUGGUGAAAGGAAUGUUCAAAGGGAAAGUCGAGUGGAUGGGGAGAUUUUGCUGAUGACAAACCAUAAGUUCCCGAGAGCAGAGUGAAAGGAUCUGGGGGAUUGUGUCAGAUUAGGGGAAUAGAGCUACAUGGGGGUGAAAGUCUUGGGGGUGAAGGAUGAACAACAGUGUCAGGCUUCUGGAGGUGUCUAGGGACACAAGGCCACAGGGCAUGAUGGGCUCUCCUGAAGGUCUCUCUUGGGCAAGUGGGUACCCCUGCUCACGCCAGCUCCUCCUCCAGCCAGGGCCCACGGGCCAUGGACCACAGUGAGGCAGUGAUAUUGGCGUUGGAGGGGCCUUGCCAGACACUGAGUGUUCGGGGUGGGAGGAGAGGGCAGCUUUGGGUAUUGGAAGGAAAGUCGAGCAGGCACUCCGGAGACUAGAUUCUCAUCCAAAUCUUUCCUACAAACCAUGACGUAACAUUGGGCAAAAUGGUCAUGAUUUUCCUUAUCUAUAAAAUAGAGAGGAGAGGAGGUCUCUCUUAGCUGUGCAAAUCCUGGCCUCUGUCUCCUUCUUUCCCUGACUUCUUCUAGCUCCUGUCUCCUCAGCCCUCCCGACUUGUAGCUAAGCCCUGGCUUUGUAUUAACCACCCUCCUGCUGUCAGCAUCGCUGAGAGGCAUAGCCAAGGCCUGCCCUCUUCCUCCUCCCUGGCUCCAAAAUGCUCCAUGCACUGUCCCAUGCCACUCUGAUCCUGAGCAGCCAAGUGGGCAGAAUGACACUCCUUUGGGCGUGGAAGUGAACAUCAGCCAUGAGUAGGGAGAGGAAACUGCCCACAGAGAGGGCAGACUCCAUCAGGGGCAAGUGACAAAGCCACAGACUGGCAUGAAGAGGCUUCCCAGGCCCUCUGGAAGGCAGUGAAGCCAGCAGCCUGGCUCCUGGGAUGGGCUGUCCCCUAUUCAGCAGCUCCAUGGGCCUGGAAGUGGGCCCAGGGAGCCAGCCAGAAGGAGGCUGUGGCCAGAGGCUUGAUUUGCAGCCCAGGACUAGGACGCAGGGUUCUCAUCCAGGCUUCACCCACAGCAAAUGUGCGACUCUCCCUGGCCCUCUGGGUGGGGAUUAUAAUAACUACCUUGCUUACCCCAGUUGCUGGAGGCCAAUAUUCACUGAACAUUCAUCAUGAGUCAGGCAUUCAGUAAUCCUCACAAUGGCCCUAGAAAUUGGCCUGUACUAUUUUCAACCCUUAGGGAGGAGGUGACAGACACAUAGAACAUCUAAGUAACUUGCCUGACACUCCACAGCUUGUAAGUGGCAGGGCCAGGCUCUUAGCCCUAAACCAUACAUUAGAGAUUUAUUAUCAUUUAGGUCCCUCAACAAUCUUGUGAUGCAGGUAUUACCAUCCAUUUUACAAACAUGGCAAUGGCUCAGAAGUCUUCAGUUAUUUGCCCAGGGUCACUUGGCUGACUGUAGCAGAAUCAGGAUUUGAACCCAGGCCCAACUUCAAAGCCAGUCCUCUUCUCAUUGGGUUGCGCCCCCAGCAUUAGCACAGGGACAGUUCCUCAGGCUGACUGCCCAAGGCCCCAUCUGUGCAAACAGGAGAGGAAAUGGCAGCCUAACUCCAGGCAGGGCCCGGGCUCAGAAGGGGGUCUACAGGGCUGAAGAGGCAGCUGGCCAGAGAUUCCACAGGAAGCAUCUUGUUGACACAUCUUCAUCACUUUGGAAUUUGAGCAACAACAUUUACCCCUUCUGAAACUCACCCAGAGGAAGCGGAUUUUCUGACGCAUAUGAAGAGUGAGAACUGUCUACAUCUAAGUCUUCUUUGAGAACAAUACCAGCUGAGCGGCUAUUUACAUUCCAGCUUCUUUUGAGAAUCUCUGAAGAUGAUUAAGUCAUUGUCAGCUGGCCCAGAACCAUAUCCUGCUCCACAAGCCUCGUCCUUGGCAAGAAGUUGCACCUGCCCAGAGAGAAAACCUUUUGAAACUGGCACAAAGGCACUGGAGAGACUGGCAGGGCCCCCUACUUGACGAUCUGGCUCAUCCAUCUGCACACUGACCACGCUAAGAGCUGUCUGCAGUGAUGGAAACCUUCUCUAGCUGUGCUGUCCUCUAUAGUGGCACCAGCUGCCUGUGGCUACUGAGCACUUCAACUGUGGCUGCAGAGACUAUGUUAAAUUGUAUUUAAUCAUAAUUAAUUUAAUUGUAAACAACUACAUGUGGCUAGUGGUUUCUGUACUGGGCACUGCAGGUGCACAUUUCCUGCUGGCCAUGGACAGUAAGCUCCAUAAGAGACUAAUUGUGCCUGGUUUGCUUAUAGGCUUAUCCUCAGCACCUGCACCAGCCUAGAAUAUGAUUGGCACUCUAUUAAUUAAAAGUUCCCAGGUAAAUGAAUUAGUGGAUUCUCUGUUUCCUCCACUAUGCCACAACCUCCUUAAGGGCAGAGAUGGUGUCUUCAAAAAAAAAAAAUUCUGGUCAAAAACACAUAAGAUCUACCACCUUCACCAUUGUUGUGUCCAGUUCAGUAGUAUUAACUACACUUACAUUGUGAUACAACAAAAGAUUGUGUCUUUUUACAUUCUUAGGACCCAGCACAGUGUCUGGCACAUAAUCUUAGUAAACACUGGCAGAGCACAUGCCUUUGCCAAGGCCAGAACAGAGGUUCAGUGCCAUCCAUUACCACCCUUUCACACAUCCACUGGGGCUUUAAAAACAACCUGGAAUGAAAGCUGUUGAGUCUAGAGAAAUGGGCUACAAAGAAGGUUUACAAGAUAAUCUAUUAAGAAUAGGGAAUACAGGCCGGGCACGGUGGCUCACACCUGUAAUCCCAGCACUUUGGGAGGCUGAGGUGGGUGGAUCAUUUGAGGUCAGGAGUUCGAGACCAGCCUGGCCAAUGUGGUGAAAUCCUGUCUCUACCAAAAAUUAUCCAGGCAUGGUGGUGCGUGCCUGUAGUCCCAGCUACUUGGGAGGCUGAGGCAUGAGCAUCGCUUGAACCCGGGAGGCAGAGGUUGCAGUGAGCCGAGAUCGCGCCACUACACCCCAGCCUGGGUGACAGAGCAAGACUCCGUCUCAAAAAAAUAAAAAAACCUAAAAUAAAGCUUAAUACACAUGACAUAUGGAUUGGCAGUCACACAUAAAUAUGAUUGAUAAGGAUACAAAUAUUUGGAGGUGCUGCCUGACCAUCUGUUGCUGAUUAUGUGGAGAUCACUUGUCUAGGACCCUGAGAUAGACUGAUGUUUCUAACUCUGCCACACACGGUCUCUCCCACCCUCCAGACACUUUCUUCCUUCAGUUCAGGGAACCCUCAAUACACAGUAAGAAUGAAGAGGUUGCAGGUCUGAGCUUGAGGAGGACUGGACUAAAAGGAGUUUAGCCCUGCCAGGGCAUUCCGAGGACUGUGAAGAUCCGGAAUAUUGGCCACAGGCAUCUAUGUAUUUGAAUCAUAUCCAUUUUUGAGCUCACUCCUAGCAGAGGAGUCAAAACUUACGUUCUGGCCCCCAGGUACAUUUCCAGUCUCUUACUCAUAAAAUUGUGACAUACCCCCAGGGGUGCCCAAAGGGGUUUGUGAAUCAAGAUAGUUUGAGGAGAAUCGAUUUUCUGAUCCUCAGUUUUUCUAUGCUCUUUUUCCUAAAAGCGAUAUUCCUAAAAAGGCAUCCAAGACAAGGCAUCCCCUUUCCCAUUUGCUGGGGAAGACAGCUUUACAAGAGAAAGCUGCCCCUCUCACCCAUGUGACCCCCCACUCUGGGGCACUGCCCUAGGGGUAGAAAUCUCCAAGGCAUCAAACAAAGUGACUCCUGGGGGUCAAGUGACAGAGGAGCAAGUCUUUCUGCAAGUCAAGUGGUUUCCAGCUCUGCUUUCAGCAAAAUUGAAAGAGGCACUAAUCAAAUUGCCAGCGGAUCAUAAAAAAACAUUUUGAUAAUAAUGUUAUUAGGCAUAUAACUUGGAAGAAGUUCAAAGAAUUGAAUGGCAUCCUCAUAACAAACUCAUCGGCUUCCAUUUAUUUAUUUAUGUGGACAGUGUUUCUCAAUGUUUAAACCUACAAAAGACUAAACAUGGGAGUAAACUUCAUGUUGAACCUUGUGUGAGUCUAGCAAUAAGUCAUCCACAUAUACAUACACUAAUUGGGAAGAAAACCUGUCCCAACCCCAACUAUUUUAUUAAGAGAUGCAUUUCCAAUAAAAAUUUACCUUUUAUGUUUAAU
rnacentral:lncRNA from 1 species